AAGAAAUUUAAAUCAAUUCGAAAAGUUUGUGUGGCGAUUUUUAUUAUUGAAAAAAUAUAUAAAGAUUUUGCUUAAGGUUUUGUGUUUUCAAUGGAAUCACUAAAAAUGUUGCAGAAGUGUUUUGGGAAGUUUACUUUCUCACGAACUUAAAUAUUUGAGUGGCAAGUAUUCAGUGAAGAUCGCGAAGUCAUCGAAAACUUGCCUCAUUCGAGUCGUCCAUCACCCUCUAUUAAUAAAGAUAACCUCUGUUUUUAACGAUAACAUCGAAACAGUUAAAGCAACAGUGCUUAGUAAUCGUCGUGUUGAGGUCAGGAAGUUAGCUGAGGAUAUCAACAUCCCUUAUGGAACGAUUCAACACAUUUCGUUUAAUAUUUUGGGUAUAAAGAUACUUGUAUAAGAUACUUGACAGCGUAGUUAAGGACCCUGCAUUCAUCACACGCAUCAUUACUGCUGACGAGACGAAAACAUCCGGACGCUUUACUGCAUGAAAAUACCGCUUUAAUUCCAGUUAUUUGCAACACAGCAGUGCAAAUUAUCGCUUACCGCACAAUUAUAUCAAAUUGGCAACAUUAAAAGCAACAACAUAAAUAAUAACCACAAUUCGAACAACAACAACAACAACCGCAAUUUAUACAGUGGGCCACUGCGCUAGUCAUGAAUAUAAAUUUAUAUGUAUGUAUGCAUGUUUAUUAGCUGGCGUUUGCUUGACUUUCACCAUAUUUUUUUUUUGCUGCAAUAAAUAUCUGCGUGUGUACAGAUUUGACUUUCGC